rnacentral:lncRNA from 1 species
AAGGGCAGUGCUGCGGUCGCUGCAUUGUAGGAAGAGUAGCUGCCCUGUUUCUAUCGCUGCGUGGGGUGAGAACACUGGGGUUGGAAGGCGACUGCGUUGAUGUGGCUGCAGCUGGGGGCAGCAUCGCCAAGAGCCUGUCGCUAUGAUGGUUGCGACGGUGCGGAUGGAAGGCAGCGUUGCUCUGUCUCUACCGCACUAUGGAAGGAGGUGUUGGUGACGUCGAGGGAUCACAUUCAAUUGAAGACACAACGGUGCCGUUAAAGCGGCCGAGGUUGAGAAGAGGAGUCGGUGCGUGCGUUGUCGAGGUUGAAGCGGCCGCACAAGAGCUUGCUGCGUGUGCUGUUGGAGGGCGGCUGCGGUGGUGUUGCCGAGGUUGAGGCUACAGUGGAAAAUGGAAUCGACGGUGGCAGGCUGGGCGGCAAGCGGCGUCGUCGCUGGCUGGGCAGCAGCGGCGACGGUGGUGGCAACCGUUCGCAGCA